GUCCUACGGGAGGCAGCAGUGAGGAAUAUUGGUCAAUGGUCGGGAGACUGAACCAGCCAAGCCGCGUGAGGGAUGAAGGUACAGAGUAUCGUAAACCUCUUUUGUCAGGGAACAAAGGCGGGGACGUGUCCCCGGAUGAGUGUACCUGAAGAAAAAGCAUCGGCUAACUCCGUGCCAGCAGCCGCGGUAAUACGGAGGAUGCGAGCGUUAUCCGGAUUUACUGGGUGUAAAGGGCGUGUAGGCGGGACUGCAAGUCAGAUGUGAAAAACAUGGGCUCCACCCAUGGCCUGCAUUUGAAACUGUAG
rnacentral:rRNA from 1 species